GAUGAACGCUAGCGGCAGGCUUAACACAUGCAAGUCGAGGGGUAUGCUGAUUUAUCGGCAGAGACCGGCGCACGGGUGCGUAACGCGUAUGCAAUCUACCUUUCACAGAGGGAUAGCCCAGAGAAAUUUGGAUUAAUACCUCAUAGUAUAGGCAGUUUCGGCAUGAAACCACUAUUAAAGUUCCAACGGUGAAAGAUGAGCAUGCGUCCCAUUAGCUAGAUGGUAAGGUAACGGCUUACCAUGGCUACGAUGGGUAGGGGUCCUGAGAGGGGAGAUCCCCCCA
rnacentral:rRNA from 1 species